GAUGAACGCUAGCUACAGGCUUAACACAUGCAAGUCGAGGGGAAACGAUAUUGGAAGCUUGCUUCUGAUAGGCGUCGACCGGCGCACGGGUGAGUAACGCGUAUCCAACCUGCCCAUCACUUGGGGAUAACCUUGUGAAAGUAAGACUAAUACCCAAUGACGUCUCUAGAAGACAUCUGAAAGAGAUUAAAGAUUUAUCGGUGAUGGAUGGGGAUGCGUCUGAUUAGCUUGUUGGCGGGGUAACGGCCCACCAAGGCGACGAUCAGUAGGGGUUCUGAGAGGAAGGUCCCCCCACAUUGGAACUGAGACACGGUCCAAACUCCUACGGGAGGCAGCAGUGAGGAAUAUUGGUCAAUGGGACGAGAGUCUGAACCAGCCAAGUAGCGUGCAGGAUGACGGCCCUAUGGGUUGUAAACUGCUUUUAUAAGGGAAUAAAGUGGGAGUCGUGACUCUUUUUGCAUGUACCUUAUGAAUAGGACCGGCUAAUUCCGUGCCAGCAGCCG
rnacentral:rRNA from 1 species